ensembl:antisense Bach2os BTB and CNC homology 2, opposite strand
GUGUUCUUUAAGAGGUCAAGGGUAUGGCUAGUCUGCCCUGAAUCUGGGAGUUAUCUGUUGGUUGCAUCAGAUAGUCAUGAGGCUCAGUCCUGGUAUUUGUGCCCAGUUGAUCACCAUGCACAAAGGCUGAAUGACUCCUCACCCUGUAACAUAGCCUUCAGUUCUAAGGUGGAGAUUGACAGAGCCCAAUCAGAAAAAACAAAACAAAACAAAAAUAAACAACAACAAGAACAA